rfam:Dipodomys ordii contig_23996, whole genome shotgun sequence.
AGCACUUGUAUAUGUCUUUGUUUAAUUUGUAACAAAAGCAUACAGGUAAGUGGAAAUAGUAAAUAUGAUGUUGCAAGUCAGAACUCAUUGUUGAGUAUGAGUUUUGGUCACUGUAAGGACUAUGAU